rnacentral:rRNA from 1 species
UACAGAGGUCUCAAGCGUUGUUCGGAUUCAUUGGGCGUAAAGCGCACGUAGGCGGACUGUUAAGUCGGGGGUGAAAUCCUGGGGCUCAACCUCAGAAUUGCCUCCGAUACUGGCAGUCUCGAGUGCGGGAGAGGUGAGUGGAAUUCCCAGUGUAGAGGUGAAAUUCGUAGAUAUUGGGAAGAACACCAGUGGCGAAGGCGGCUCACUGGCCCGUAACUGACGCUGAGGUGCGAAAGCGUGGGGAGCAAACAGG